GAUGAUAUAGUUCAGCGGUGGAGCACUUGCCUUGCAUGCAUGAAUCCUUGGAUUUGAUCCCUAGCAUUGUUA
rnacentral:tRNA from 1 species